CUUUAACUAAGGCAUGUCUUCCUUUCAAUUGUGAAACUCUCACGCUCCGCCACUGGUGACGUGGUCAUGAGUAGCUUUUUUUUUUCCUCCAAACGGACAUGAUAAAAGCACACUGCUUCUUGCACCUCCCUACUUAACCUCAUAAGAUGGAGAUGAAGGAGGUUCGGGCAGCACCACCAUCAGAAUAUCAGGAACAGCAAUUUAACAGGGACCAACACACUGUUGUGACCAUCGGCAACCCUGUGGAGGAUCCCAGAGACUAUGUGGUAUGGUCCAUCUGCAGCCUCUUCCACGGAAACCCCUUAUGCUUCGGACUGGUGGCGCUGAUCUUCUCAAUCAAGGCAAGAGACAUGAAGUUGAUCGGAGACCUGCAGAGAGCCAGGGGAUACAGCAAGUGUGCUCUGGGCUUCAACGUGGCCGUGCUGAUCAUUCUUUCUUUGACUAUCUUUAGUCUUGUAAUUGUUUGGAUAUAUGUGUCCGUUGAAAAUGCCAAUCGCUAUCGCAAUCUCAACUACUGGGGCCAAUAAACCAGUUAAUUGCCCCUGUACCAAAAAUAAUAAUGAAGCUGUAUUGAAUUGAAUUACCCAGUAAAGCGCUUUGUAAACAGUCAUUAUUUUACGCCACCUUUCAGAAUUAAGUUGAUUUGAAAAUAGUUUCAGCAGCCUCCCCAGCGAGUUCUCCAAGUUAAUGAUGCGUAAUGUCCGUAAAAUAACCCAUGGGUAGACCGAGGCACUGUAUUUGAAUUAGGGUAGUAUCUUUGGCUGAAUGUAUUGAAUGUUACUACACUUUGCAUUAAAGCUUCAGCUAAAAUAAAUGUUUUCCAAUGUAACAUGAUUUUAAAUAAUACAUGCGCUAUUUGUGAUCCAAUGCAAUGGUGUUUUACAUAAUACAUAAUCGACGGCGGUCGUGGCAGGGCCCCAUGCAGGGGCUAGGGCAGGUCUAGCAAUGCCACCGCAAAGGUCUUCAUGAGUUAUUACAUGCAAAUUAUUAAAUGAAUGUGGAUAUGCGGCAUUACAAUGACAAGCUGCAAGCAGUGACUACGCUUACAUUAAAAGUAACAUCAUGACAAUGUGUCUGCAUUAGAGCCUCAGACCGAAAAUAAUGUGAAAAUACAGAAGUUAUCCUUUAACAAAGACGCAUUCUGAAUGGAAAUACAUCAGAGGAACCAUCAGGCGUCUUUCCUGAGCAAAAGACAGAGUGUUGCUCUCCAAAAGAUAGGUUUCCACCCACGGCAGGGAAGGGACAGACAGAAGGAGAGGAGGCUACAGAAGCAGAGACUGGAACAGACAGGAGCAGGGACGAGACAGAGUGAACAUUUGGGAGGAAAGGCCCCUUUAGGACCCCGACCCCAAAAACGACAGGUGUCCCAUUCAUUUUUUAUACACAGAAGAAUAAAUUCUUAUGUUAAAAUUUUCACUUGCAAGGUUAAUUCUAAUUGAAUUAUUUCUGCUUCCCAGUACCGUAAUAUGAAAAAAAAAUUAAAUGUAACUAUUAACACUUUUUUACCAUUAAAGAUACAAUCAAAUCUGGAUUCUGCACUCAGCGUAUUGUAAAACAAUAAAGUAUAAACAAAAACGCAUGCAAUCUCUAUAAGUGAUUAUCAACCAAUGUGCAUGAUUAUGCUAAUAUAUGCUUAACGUGUGCAUAUGCAUAGGUACAAGUAUACUAUACUCACUAACAAAGUGGUUCACAAUGUUUGUUGCUAUAAUCCUUUCAGAAAAACCUGGUUAUAGUAUCAGACAGUACAGUCGCUCUAACCUUUGUA